AGACAUCAGCACCACGCUUCACCAGUUGAAACCCAACACAUUGCGUUACUUCAGGCCAUCAUAUUGUCCUCUUCUGAUAAGGACAAGUGGCUGGAACAAGUAAACACAUCAAUGAACACCCCUUCCAAAGGUAUAGAGAGGAGCUCCAUCAUCGUCUGCAAAGCAUGUGACAAAAGCUUUCCUGGCAACCAGAAGUCGCAGUUGGAUGAUUUCGUCACAGGUCACCCUCAGAGGGAAAAUUCUGAAGCGCUGUGAAGAGACAUGUGUCUGGGAUUGGUGGAUGCUGACAUCCCGUGAAAAAAAGCACAAAACCAGAAGCUCCACUACAUUGUUGAGGGAAAUGGCAAUCAAACUCUUAGAUGAGUCAACUUUCAAGAGGUGGUACUUGAAGGACUGGCAUCAACAAGUUACCACCAGUAUCAAGGCUAACCUUGGGGACAGCAGUAUAUGGAUCUGGCUAGAAACAACAACCAAUGUGCCAGGGUAAGAAGUUGCCAACGUCACUUUUGGAAAGCUGGACGUCUCAUGAUUGAACUUUUAUUUAUCUUUUUUGUUACGGAGUCAGAUGGCAUCUGUUGAUGGUUGUCCCAUUGAGGGAUAUUCUCUGGUCUGUCAUCAUAUCCAACACCAAUUUCAAUUCACCUUUGAGAAUGAUUGGAGGUUUGGUCGUUUAAGGUCUUAAAGGAGCAACUCAUGUUGUCAUUUAAAUACUGCAGACAUGCUUGGAUUAAACCAGGCAUUUCGGUUUUGAAGGCGGAGACUUUACCAUUAAACUAUGGCUGCAAACCUACACGCCGUCCCUCGUGUCCUCCUCUUUUUAGAAAAGGCAACUGUUACAUAGGGACCCUGAAUGCACUAGAGGGUCUCUAUUGUUAACUUGCUUGUCAAGAGCAUCCUGGGCUCAUUAGACACAAGUUUUGAGGCAACCAAUAUAUAGUUUUGCGUUCUGAUGCAUACCAAAGUGUGGCACAGAAAUGAAGACUCCGGCAGUCAGGUGCUAUUAAGAACUAUCUGGGCUCUAAGAAGGGGCUGUGCAAGCCGUCACCUGGCAAGGUUUUGUAGAUUUUCAAAAAGCUUUCCUUUUCUGGCUUGUCGGACUCCACGGACAAACACAGAUUUCAGAGUGAAAAACAGUUAUUGCUAAAGGGAAAAAGAGGACCUCAUUUUCCGAUUUUCCCGCAAAAUAGAGGCCCUGAUUUAAGUAUUAAAUAAUUAUAAUUCCAGAACAAGAGUGAAAGUUCAUCUAUAGAAAUGAACUUUUUCCAUUCAUUCGGGGCAGAAAGCUGAGAGGAGGGUAAAAUUGCACCUUUUUGGAGUGUUCUGUUAAUUCCUACAUUUUAAUCUAUCGCAUUAGCUAAACCCCAGUUCCAUAUUUUUUUCAGCCUCCACGUCAAAAGAGUUUUGUCCCUUUUUUAGGGAAACAAUUUUGGUGCCGCCACCAUUUUCAUGAAAAGCUUUGAGCCUCUUGCAACACCCAUUUCCAAAAUCAAGCCUUAAGGCAAACAAUUUGAGCACCCAAAUCGUUCUUUAGUAUCACUUUUAUGAAAAUACAAAACUCUGAAUUGCAAACAUCAAUUCAAUUGGAUUUUGCGUAAAAUGAGAUAGAAUAGCAAAGGAAUUAAGAAACCAAGUUCUAAAAUCUCGAUGGCUCUUGGCUUAGAAAUGCCAAAUAUUGGAGCGGAAACAACAUAUUGAAAUGGGCACGAGGUUUUAAAAUUCAUUUUGAAAAUCUUUCAAGUUUAUAAUUAUAUAUUAGAUAAAGCUGCUCUUUUCUAAGGUCUUCUUUUUUCGCGUUUUCGUGAUCUUAUGUCUUCUCUUUCUUGCUAAAUGACCCUGUUUCUUUGCCUCAAAAUCACGUUCUUUUUCAAAGAUAUAUUACUUUCUUUCCUGUUCGUGGACAACAAACGUUAUUUAGUUAGUUAGAAAGAGUUGAUCAAUAAACCAGAGAGCUUCACAUACGGUCCAGAAACUCUGGAAGGGAUCCCGCCGGCACCACUGACGAAAAAGGGCAGAGCGGUGAGUCAAAUAUCAAAUUUGAAUCUUCAUUACAUGACAAACAAACAAAACCCUCAAGUGGAUACUCUUUAAAAUGAGAAUAAAAGAAAGUGGCAUCAAACGAUGCCUUGAUGUACGAACAACUGACGGUCUCUUUUUACUUUUAACCUUAACGCUCAAUGGUUGAACCAUGACAAAUAUCCUAAUAGUUUAUUCUCACGAGCCCGGACUCCAGUCCUUUCUAAAACAUUCAUUUCCAGCUAAUCCCUCCAAGGUCGAGUAAAAGACUUGAGUGCACUCGAACUCGAGCCCGGACUCGCCCCAGCAGUAUUAGGUACUCCUUUCCAUUGUCUUUAAGGAAUAAAUUGUACUAAAACUUCGCUCCAACAAUGUUAACAACGACAUUUGUUUCUCGUGCCGGUGAUUCCGAUGUUUCUCCUCCGAUGAAAGUUUGCCUCUCGACAUUGCGUUUUGUUGCUAAUCGACCUGCCCCUUGGAAAGCCGAGUGCCAGAAUGCCGAUCCGGACGAUGCCAAUUACCUGUUUUAACGUGCUUUAAGCACCCUGGACCUCAUGAAAACAAGCCGUUAUGGCUUAUGAAGAUCCACGGUCUCAAAUCUACCCAUAUAACUGUUUUUUUUUCUUUCUAAUUGAGACCAAAAUACAUACAUACAUACAUUUUUGA